UACGUAGGGGGCAAGCGUUGUCCGGAUUUACUGGGCGUAAAGCGCGUGUAGGCGGAAGCGAAAGUCCGGUGUGAAAGCCCCCCGCUCAACGGGGGGAGGUCGCUGGAAACUGCGCUUCUUGAGGGCGGCAGAGGGAAGUGGAAUUGCUGGUGUAGCGGUGAAAUGCGUAGAGAUCAGCAGGAACACCCGUGGCGAAGGCGGCUUCCUGGGCCGCGCCUGACGCUGAGACGCGAAAGCGUGGGGAGCGAACGGG
rnacentral:rRNA from 1 species